UCUCUUUAUUUAAAAACAGUCAGGUGUAAACAUAUAAUUCAAAGCCAAGCACAAACUUUAGCACAAGCAUUGAGUAAACAGGGUAAAACCACUAAGCACAACAGACAUCUGUUUAAACAAGUGUGAUGCUCACAUCCAUGUCAUGUCAAAUACAAAUGUGAAACAAAGCUUUUGGAAAAAAACACAAUUCAUGGGACACUUGUGUUUGAUCUUAUCUUAGUACCAUACAGAGAGACAGUGAGGAACACUUUGUGAACACUCACCCUAUCAUGUUAGCCAAAUGUAGACCUGGGCUGAAAGUGUCCCAACACCGUCACUACCACCUCUUCCGCUGCACAAGCACAACCUAACCAGUUUUGGUUUCCAGAGGCAGGUUCUCUCCACGCAGCUCAGACUGGCCUUCAGCUUCCUGAGGUAUAUGCCACCAUGCCUCACCCAAUCUAUUGUAGAGUAUUUUUCUUUAUGAAAACAACAGAACUUCACGAUAGCGAUGUAAUGCAGGACUACAUUUUUGCCUGAGAGCCUACAGAGUAAUUGUGCUGCGCACCACCUCCAUUUCUACUCAGCUCAGUCACAAAGAAGGAAUACUUAUGCUCUGUUGGUGAACCACACUAUUGGGCUCUAAAUAAACUCAUGACUAGAAUCCUGACUGCAUCACUCUCUCCCCUCCAUAUAAGCAUGACCUUGAAGAAUAAAAUCCAUGAACACUGCCUUCUGCCUGCUACUCGGCAAAGCUGCCAUGUCUGUAGGCUGCUUGAGUGUAGCUUAGUUCCAUUUAAGGACAAUUUCACCUACUGUCCACUUAGGCUGAGUAGACACAAAGCUGAUUUAACUUCAAGAAGGUCUCAGAAUCAAGAAAAUGCAGUUGAGGGUCUAAUAACAUGAGAGUCUGAGGCACAGUCUAAAGUGUCUGAGGGGCCCUGAUGCUUUCCAGGAACUUAAUCCACUUCAUUUAGACCCCGCAGGGAUGGCCUUCCAAUCCAGUACCUCAAGGGGUUGCUUCCACUCUCUACCAGCACACACCAUGAGAGGCUGCCAAAGCCUGGCUGUGAUUCCUGAAGUCCAAGGUGUGCUAUGUUGAAAGAGCUUUGAGUAUCUGACUGACGGUUGGGGGGUCCAUGCUGAUUUGGAAUGCACUCCACUCAGCUCAACAUGAAGAGCAACACUGUGGUGGCAAGGAGCCCCGAGUCAGCCUUUUAACCACAAGAUAACCAUUGUUUCUUCUAGGAAGACCUACAACAUGGCUUAGCCUUUAGAAAUUUUAUCACUAUACAUUUUUCUGGCCUGAAAUGCAUCCAAAUGCUAAGAGCUACCUCUUGGGGGAAGGUAAAGCAAGAAGGGGAUGACCAGUACUUGAAUCUGGUCCAUUUCAGGAACUGCAGCCACUCAGCAAUCCCGGCCAUUUAGCUGUUGCCAGAGGUGCAGGGCUCCCAGCCCAGGGCCAUGUUCUACCAUCUGCACCUUAUCUGAUACUAAAAUAGCCAAGCAAAUGAUUAAACUUUCCCAAUACAGGAGGCAGAGGCAGAGGCAGAGGCAGAGGCAGGUAGAUCUGUAAGUUCAAAGCCACCCUGGUCUACAAAGGGAAUUCCAGGAUAGCCAGGGCUAUAGCAUAGUGAAACCAUGUCUCAAAAAACAGAACAAAACAAAUAGAACACAAAACUUUCCCAAUCCAAUUAACUUGCCAAGCUUGUUGCUAGGUCUAGCCUACAUGCUUCUACAUCGAUGUUAAAAACUUGCUAGAGCCUAGAGGGACAAGCAGGAAAAUGUAACAUGUGACCACAGACUUCUCUGGUGCUCAUGACAACUUCUGGUAGAUCUUGUAGUGGGUAAAGCUUCAAGUCUAGAGGUGAACUUGGUCUAGGUCUAGAACUUCAGCAUGAACACAAACCAUAACAAGCUACCCAUUUCCUACAUAGAAUAAUAAAAACCAAUAACCACAGGUAGAGAAGAUUUGAUACAUAGCAGCACUGCAGCUCAUGCGGUCUCUGUAGUGUGCUCCCGCCUUCAAAAUGCAGGGUAGCAAUUCAAUGGCUACUUUUCCUCCCAUGCUAAAACAGCUACUAUAGCAAUCGAAACCAUCUCAAGUCCUCCACCAAGCAGCACAGGCACAUUCGAGCUGGAAGAGGCACAAGACUGAUGUCACGCCCAUUUUUCCAAGGUUCCUCCAAUCAACCCUCCAGGGUUCUAUAUACUGACCCUUAGAGAAGAAUUCAGAAGUGCCCUAUACAGGAGGCUGCCAUCAAUCCUAAAUUCUCUUGUUCACCCAACUCUGAAGAUUAACAUCGAUGUGUGGUGGGAGUGAGGGAGGAUGUUGGAGGGAGGGAGGCAUCCCUACCAGCUGUGGAGACAAUUGGCUGUGGCUGGAUUUCAGAGUCCUAAGAAUGCUGCUGGGCAGAUGGGUGGUC
ensembl:lncRNA